CUGAUUUGAGUAAAAUGCCUGAUUCUCCUGUGUGGCCAGUCUCGUGUCAAUUAAACUCUCUACUACAAUGCCAUGGUGUCAAUGCAUCUUGUCUGUGCAGUGCGCAGAAAGAACCCACUGGCAAUUACAUUACCAGUAGCUAUCGCUCUUCUGUCCUUCAAACAGGAAAUACUUCAACCCUGGCUUGAUUCUUAAUUGAAGAGCUGCAUAAAAGCUAUAGCUGAAGUCCAUGGGGACCACGGGAAUUGAAGAAACUUGGAGAGCUGCUGCCAAGAGGAAAUGAAUGGUGUCUUUGAGAUAUUCACAAACAUCCGGUGCGGAUGGGGAAGCUCACUUUGAGAGCCAGCGUUUAUUCUAUUUUCUGUAUUUGAUCCAUUCUCAACAAAGGCCGUUCCCAACCCUAUCUUUCACAGUGUCUUUCUGCUGCACCAGAUGUUGGAAUAAAUCUGUAUUUCUUU
rnacentral:lncRNA from 10 species